rnacentral:rRNA from 1 species
UACGUAGGGGGCAAGCGUUGUCCGGAUUUAUUGGGCGUAAAGCGCGUGUAGGCGGCCAGGUAGGUCCGUUGUGAAAACUCGAGGCUCAACCUCGAGACGUCGACGGAAACCCUCUGGCUAGAGUCCGGAAGAGGAGAGUGGAAUUCCUGGUGUAGCGGUGAAAUGCGCAGAUAUCAGGAAGAACACCCGUGGCGAAGGCGGCUCUCUGGGACGGUACUGACGCUGAGACGCGGAAAGCGUGGGGAGCGAACAGG